GACGAACGCUGGCGGCGUGCCUAACACAUGCAAGUCGAGCGAUGAAGCUUCCUUCGGGAAGUGGAUUAGCGGCGGACGGGUGAGUAACACGUGGGUAACCUGCCUCAUAGUGGGGGAUAGCCUUUCGAAAGGAAGAUUAAUACCGCAUAAUAUUACGUUAUCGCAUGGUAAUGUAAUUAAAGGAGCAAUUCGCUAUGAGAUGGACCCGCGUCGCAUUAGCUAGUUGGUGAGGUAAUGGCUCACCAAGGCGACGAUGCGUAGCCGACCUGAGAGGGUGAUCGGCCACAUUGGGACUGAGACACGGCCCAGACUCCUACGGGAGGCAGCAGUGGGGAAUAUUGCACAAUGGGCGAAAGCCUGAUGCAGCAACGCCGCGUGAGUGAUGACGGCCUUCGGGUUGUAAAACUCUGUCUUCAGGGACGAUAAUGACGGUACCUGAGGAGGAAGCCACGGCUAACUACG
rnacentral:rRNA from 1 species